rnacentral:rRNA from 1 species
UACGUAGGGUGCAAGCGUUGUCCGGAAUUAUUGGGCGUAAAGAGCUCGUAGGCGGUUUGUCGCGUCGACUGUGAAAACCUGGGGCUUAACUCUGGGCCUGCAGUCGAUACGGGCAGACUUGAGUCCGGAAGAGGAGAAUGGAAUUCCUGGUGUAGCGGUGAAAUGCGCAGAUAUCAGGAAGAACACCCGUGGCUAAGGCGGUUCUCUAGUACGGUACUGACGCUGAGACGCGAAAGCGUGGGGAGCGAACAGG